rnacentral:lncRNA from 1 species
GUUUGGUUUGCCAUCACUUUUUGUGACUUUUCUGACAUCUGCAAGUGUCGGAAGUGUGACCUGAAACAUUUAAGGACACUUCUGCCUGAACCAUGGGCAGAUGUUUAGACUCCAAGAUACAGAGGAGGAGGGUCUUGGAGGUUUCUUAGUAUAAGUUCCUCCCUGUGGUACUUGCAGUUCCUACAAGGGGCUGUCAGAGAAACAAGCCGGAGCAGAAGAGCAAGACAUGGUCCUGGUGCAUGAAAGGAGCCUAAGAAAGAAGAGUGAAAGCUGCACGUGUUCUACCUCCAGAAAGCCAUAAAAGAGAAAAGAAUGUUGUACCAAACUAAGCAAAUGAAGCAUGAAAUGAAAAGCCGGUUGAGCUGGGAGGUAUAAAGAAUGGAAAGGAAGCAGCUACCACCCCUGGUAACCCCAUCAAUCCGGAGAAGCUUCGCAGAGUUACACUGUGCUCUGUCGGGAAGGAAAUGAAUUUUCCUCAUUGUACACAUUCCGAGAAAAAUGAGGCUAAGACUAUUUCAAAGGAUGUUCUACCUAAUUCGAAUGGGCUUUAAGUGCCAUCUUCACAAUAGCGCCAGAGUCUGGUGUCAGCAAACUGAACAAAUAGAGCUACAGGGAGCGAAUGGGGCUGGGUGCCUCUCCAAAACAUAUGCAGAUGAACUUGAGAUUUCAGAGGACGGUUAAUCCUACACAGCAGUCAAGUGCCUUCCCAGGGAGCAUCCUGGCAGGCAUCCACUGUGCCAUAUGCUUUCGGGAAGUCUGGAUGCUGAAUGUGGUGGCUGUGGGGAAUUGAGCCUUAUUGCUUCAUAAGAUUCCUGGUGGUAGAACUAUUCUGAACAAGAACACGUCCGUCCCCAUAGGUGUGCUCCAAGAAUCACAGAAUAAGAAGGGACUUCGGAGAGAGCCUCACACAGUUGGGCAAUGGGAGCCCAGAGAGGCAAGGAAGGCUCCUUGCCCAAAGUCUUGUACAUCUGAAUCUGCAACUCCUGACUAUUUUUGAGUCUUAUGCUCCAGGCUAAAACUUGUGACUUUAAGUGUGAUGUUCUCGGUGAUGAUUAAUCUAGGAUGUUUCUGUUGUUUUCUUACCGUCAAAGAAUUAACAUCAAAAGGAAAGGAAGGAAGAAAUGUAGAAGUGAAGGCAAGAAGGAAGGAAGGAGGAAAGGAAGGAAGGAAAAUAUAGGCUUUGGGUAAAAAUAAGUUUCUACUCAACACUGACAAAGGUACAGGUUUUGGACAUUGGUUUCCUAAUCUGUAAAUGAGGAAUAGUCAUCACAUCGCUGUCCUGGCUGGUUUUGUGUGUCAACUUGACACAAGCUGGAGUUAUCACAGAGAAAGGAAAGAAAAUGCCUCCAUGAGAUCUAGCUGUAAAUGGAUUAGUGAUCAAGAGUGGGAGGGCCCAGUGUGGGUGGUGCCAUCCCUGGACUGGUGGUCCUGGGUUCUACAAGAAAACAAGCUGAGCAAGCCAGGGGAAGCAAGCCAGGGGAACAUCCCUCCACGGCUCUGCAUCAGCUCCUGCUUCCUGCCCUGUGUGAGUUCCAGUCCUGACUUCCUUUGGUGACGAACAGCAAUGUGAUAGUAUAAGCUGAAUAAACCCUUUCCUCCCCAAC